UAUUCUUGAUGAUCUUUGCUAGCUUUGAGACAACAUCAUCUGGACUAACUGCAGCACUCAAGUUUCUAUCGGACAAUCCUAAAGCAUUACAAGAACUAGAGGAGGAGCAUCAGCAGAUCCGGGAAAGAAGGGCUGAUCCGGACACAGAAGUCACUUGGGAGGAAUACAAAUCCAUGAAAUUCACCUCCCAUGUUAUAAAUAAAUCACUAAGGCUAGCCAACGUCGCCCCUGUGUUGUUUAGGAAAGCAACACAAGA